rnacentral:rRNA from 1 species
UGGCGGACGGGUGAGUAACGCGUGGGUAACCUGCCUUGUACUGGGGGACAACAGUUGGAAACGACUGCUAAUACCGCAUAAGCGCACAGCUUCGCAUGAAGCAGUGUGAAAAACUCCGGUGGUACAAGAUGGACCCGCGUCUGAUUAGCUGGUUGGUGAGGUAACGGCCCACCAAGGCGACGAUCAGUAGCCGGCCUGAGAGGGUGAACGGCCACAUUGGGACUGAGACACGGCCCAAACUCCUACGGGAGGCAGCAUG